UAUAACAUUUUUAAUGAAAUGUCAGAUUCUAAUUGAGAGAAUUGCUCCCAUUUGUCCAAAUUUUAUUUUCAUCAAUUGUGGCAAUCAAUGAAAGCAGAUCAGAUAUCACAGUAAAGAUUUUCGUUUUCUUUUUGUAAUAUAUCUUCAAGAAUAUCAAAGACACUGGGAACUGAAAGGUUUUAUACCAAGACUUACAGUCAUAGUUGAUAAUGACAAAGUUAUCAAGUAUUGCAUUAUUCAAAUAUAAUUUCAGGUUAUGCAGAUUGUUGAGAGCAAUAUGAUGAGGGAAGGCAGGUAAGAGUCUUAUUGUCUGUAUGUACUCAUGGCAAAAUGGUGUUCGAGAGGUGGCGAAUAAGGAUUUGCUUGCAGCAUUGAAGAACGAUAUAUACAAAGAACAGAAAGAAAGGUUCUCUUAACAUAGAAAGUAAAGAAAUAAUGAAGUUCACACUACAGUUGACAAUCUGGAUGGGUUUCCUUUGUUAUUUGAACAUGAUUUAUUUUAACUUACAUAACAAGUAUGCACUACAAUAAUGAAUAUCUAUAUUAAUAGUAAUGAUAUUCCAUUAAACAUGGAUAUGGAAAAAAAUAUUCUUUGACAAUGCAAGAUAAGAUAAAUCCAGACAUAGUCAGAGUCUUCAGUUAACUUGGAUGUGUUCCAUUUGUUUCAUCCACAAACUUGAAUUUUGUCUUGUAACUAUGUGUAUUUUAUGAGGUUAACUUGAGUAAUAAACCUUUAUCAUAA